rnacentral:rRNA from 1 species
UACGAAGGGUGCUAGCGUUGUUCGGAAUUACUGGGCGUAAAGCGCACGUAGGCGGCUUUCUAAGUCGGGGGUGAAAUCCUGGAGCUCAACUCCAGAACUGCCUUCGAUACUGGAGAGCUUGAGUCCGGGAGAGGUGAGUGGAACUGCGAGUGUAGAGGUGAAAUUCGUAGAUAUUCGCAAGAACACCAGUGGCGAAGGCGGCUCACUGGCCCGGUACUGACGCUGAGGUGCGAAAGCGUGGGGAGCAAACAGG